rnacentral:rRNA from 1 species
ACUCAAAUGAAUAGACGGGGGCCCGCACAAGCGGCGGAGCAUGUUGCUUAAUUCGACGCAACGCGAAGAACCUUACCAAGGUUUGACAUCACUCGUUUACCGGUGGAGAUGCCGGGUCCUUUUGGGGCGGGUGACAGGUGGUGCAUGGCUGUCGUCAGCUCGUGUCGUGAGAUGUUGGGUUAAGUCCCGCAACGAGCGCAACCCUCGUUCCAUGUUGCCAGCACGUGGUGGUGGGGACUCAUGGGAGACCGCCGGGGUCAACUCGGAGGAAGGUGGGGAUGACGUCAAGUCAUCAUGCCCCUUAUGUCUUGGGCUGCAAACAUGCUACAAUGGCCGGUACAGAGGGCUGCGAUACCGUGAGGUGGAGCGAAUCCCGUAAAGCCGGUCUCAGUUCGGAUCGAAGUCUGCAACUCGACUUCGUGAAGUCGGAGUCGCUAGUAAUCGCAGAUCAGCAGUGCUGCGGUGAAUACGUUCCCGGGCCUUGUACACACCGCCCGU